UGGUCGCAGGUUCGAAUCCUGCACGACCCACCAAUUUCAGCAUUUAACUCAGAUGCUGAACGUGAAGGAUAACGUUGCGACAGCAACGGCCCGAAGGGCGAGGCGAAGUCGAGUCAUCCUGCACGACCCACCA
rnacentral:sRNA from 1 species